rnacentral:misc_RNA from 1 species
GAUGAAGAACGUAGCGAAAUGCGAUAAGUAGUGUGAAUUGCAGAAUUCAGUGAAUCAUCGAAUCUUUGAACGCACAUUGCGCCUCCUGGCAUUCCGGGAGGCAUGCCUGUUCGAGCGUCAUUAAAAUCACUCAAGCUUAGGUUUGCCUAUUGCUUGGUCUUGAAGAUGGAAGCUAAGUAAUUAGAAUCCUCUUCGAAAUCCAAUGGCGAAGACCCUUGCUCUCCCAAGUGUAGUAAUAACUUAUUCACUGAAGGAAGCGAGUAAUCUUCCGCCGUAACCCCCAUAUUUUCUAUGAUUGACCUCGGAUCAGGUAGGGAUACCCGCUGAACUUAAGCAUAUCAAUAAGCGGAGGA